UCCUGGAGGUCUAGUGGUUAGGAUUCGGCACUCUCUCCGCCGGGGGCCGGGUUUGAUUCCCAGUCAGGGAC